rnacentral:misc_RNA from 1 species
CCGCGUCAAACCCUUGAUGGACAGCACGUUCCCGCUGAAAGAGGCCUCAAAAGCUCAUGCGCGGAUGGAAUCCAGCCAACAUAUUGGCAAAAUUGUGCUGACGGUUUAACGCCGGGGAACCCAUCGAAACCCUUUGAUUUGCUUCAUAUUCGUGGCAUUUAUCGCGUUCCAACCGGCGGGUCCUGUUAACCCCGCCGGGUCCACCGCGGAGAGCUGACUUUGCGCUCGAUCAG